rnacentral:misc_RNA from 1 species
GAUGAAGAACGCAGCGAAAUGCGAUAAGUAAUGUGAAUUGCAGAAUUCAGUGAAUCAUCGAAUCUUUGAACGCACAUUGCGCCCGCCAGUAUUCUGGCGGGCAUGCCUGUCUGAGCGUCAUUACAACCCUCAAGCUCAGCUUGGUGUUGGGCCCCGCCGCCCCGGCGGGCCCUAAAGUCAGUGGCGGUGCCGUCCGGCUCCGAGCGUAGUAAUUCUUCUCGCUCUGGAGGUCCGGUCGUGUGCUCGCCAGCAACCCCCAAUUUUUUUCAGGUUGACCUCGGAUCAGGUAGGGAUACCCGCUGAACUUAAGCAUAUCAAUAAGCGGAGGA